AACACCACUAAGCAAGAGGCAUCACACCAUGAAGACCAAGGCCGUAACUAGGUGACCCAGUAUCAUCUACUGUACAUCAUGGUGUUAGAAGAGAGGCAGUGAUGAUGCAGGAUUUUUGCCGAAUUUAUAGAAUUUUCGACGAGCACCUCUCGGAUUCCUGGUUAAAGUUCUGCAAGGAGUGGUGCAUGUAGGUAUUGGCAGACAAGUCCAAGAAGGUACAGGCAUAUACAAUAGCUCUUGAAUCUGGCUGGUGCUGUGGCGGUGGACAAGGCUGACACUCUCAUGUCUGGAGAGGAGGAGGACAGAGAGGAUCCUCAGAUCAUCAUCUAGCAAAAUUCUGGCAAAGAGAUUUGCAGAGUGGCGGGUGACCGGCAAAGAGAUCUGCAAACUGUCAGUUGAAGAUGACGGGAGGGGUCGCAGAGGCAGUAAGGACUGGAGGAUAACAUG